rnacentral:rRNA from 1 species
UACAGAGGGGGCAAGCGUUAUUCGGAAUUAUUGGGCGUAAAGGGCGCGUAGGCGGCCUGGCAAGUGGAAGGUGAAAUCCCUCGGCUUAACCGAGGAACUGCCUCCCAAACUGCUUGGCUUGAGACCGGGAGAGGUGAGUGGAAUUCCCAGUGUAGCGGUGAAAUGCGUAGAUAUCAGGAGGAACACCGGUGGCGAAGGCGGAUCUCUGGACCAGUUCUGACACUGAUGAGCGAAAGCCAGGGGAGCAAACAGG